ACAACUUUCAACAAUGGAUUUCUUGGGUCUCKCAUMGAUGAAGAACGCAGMGAAAUGCGAUAAGUAAUGUGAAUUGCAGAAUUCAGUGAAUCAUCGAAUGUUUGAACGCAUCUUGCGCUCCUUGGUAUUCCUUGGAGCAUCCCUGUUUGAGUGUGAUUAAU
rnacentral:rRNA from 1 species